rnacentral:rRNA from 1 species
AAAUAAGUGUCCUUUAGCUUAAAAUUUCUCGCCCAAAUUCCUUGAUAUACGUACUUACAAGAUAGGCCUAUGCAAUGCGAAACUACAUGGUUAGGUGUUAUAGAGGUAAAUCAGUGUGCCAGCUACCGCGGUUAUACAUUAGCUAACUAAUUUCUAUUUUGUUAUUUUUGAACAUUUAAUAACUAAUAGCACACUUGUUUAGUGAAACUGUGUACAUUUGUAAAUAUGCUUUUAGUUCAAUAAAUAAAUUUAAUAGUAAAACUAGGAUUAGAUACCCUACUAUUUUAAAUUUUAAACAUUAAGAAGUAAAAUAAGCCCUAAACUUAAUUAGGACGGCGGUAGAAUUUUAUUAGAGGAGGUUGUUCUUUAAUCGAUAGCCCUCGUUUAUUUCUUUUUCUUCAUUAUGUAUAUCGCCGUUGAAAUUCAACUUAAGAUUGAAUUAUUUAUCUAUAUUUAUGUGUCAACAGGUCUAGAUACAAAUAAUGUAAAAGUAUGAAAUGACCUACAAAAUACAAAUAAUUUUAAUGGUAAUUAACAUAAUAUAAGAAGUACCAAAGGAUUUAAAAGUAAUGUUAAUUAAUUGUAAUAGUAUAAUGAAUUAUACUUAUUCUAUGCACAUAUCGCCCGUCACCCUCUUUGGAGGUAAGUCGUAACAAAGUAGAUCUUUCGGAAGAAGGAUCUAGCCA